CCUACGGGAGGCAGCAGUGGGGAAUCUUUGACAAUGGGCGCAAGCCUGAUCCAGCUAAGCCGCGUGUGGGAGGAAGGUACUUAGUAUUGUAAACCCCUUUCAUGAGGGCGCAAAGUCUGGGGAUAGUACCCGUAGAUGAUGACACGACUAACAGUGUGCGAGCAGCCGCGGUAAUACGGAGGAGUCAAGCGUUGUUCGGAGUCACUGGGCGUAAGGGGUGUGGAGGCGGGUUUGUAAGGCGGGUGUGAAAGGCCCGGGUUCAAGCCGCGGCAGGCAUAUGAGACUGCGAGACUAGAGUAAUAGAGAGGGAUGCGGAAUGCGCGGUGUAGCAGUGAAAUGCGUAGAUAUCGAGAAGAACACUGAUGGCGAAGGCGGCUUCCUGG
rnacentral:rRNA from 1 species